rnacentral:lncRNA from 1 species
GGGCCACGGCGUCUCUCCUCUAAUGACACCUCAUCAAUCCGCUCCUAUCAAUGUCCCAGCCAUGGAGGUGACUUCGAGUGCUCAGAAGCCUUAGAAAAUGUCAACGUUUUGGGAGAAAAGGUGAGGAAAAAGAGACAAGAGUUUGGCAGCAAGUAACUUCCAGAGCUGGGAAUCAAGCUAAGGUCAGUGAAUGUAAUAUUAUCUAGAAGAACAAAACUCAUAGAUAAAGCAGCAUGAUAUAGUGGAAAGAGGUGGAAUCUGGCUUUGAAGACCUGAGUUUACAUCAAAGCUUGCUGACAUGGUGUAUCCUGAAAUGGAGAGAGUUAAAUGAAGAAUUUGAAAUCCUCCUAAGGCCAGAAACCUGCGCGUGCUUUGGAUGUAAGUAACAUUUGUCAAGCCUGAAUUUUAGAAAGUUUGUAUAACAUUUAAUUCAUUGUUUUAAUCCAAAGGAGAACAUCCUGUUUACUGAGCCCUCAGAGUUGUUGAAAUAUGAAUAUGAAGUAGGAAUCCUUUCAACAUCCCAGAUUGUUCCUAUUUUUAUUUUUAUGUCUGAGAGUAUGGAUGUUCAGAGACGUUAAGUAACAUACUCUAAAUAACAUAGGUAAAAAGUACCAGGGCCAGGAUUUAAACCUGGUUUUGAUCAUUUUAAGGCCCAUGGGAAGGCCUACCACUUGCUAUCAAGACACAUAAAGCACAGUGCCUAGAGUGAGCUAACAACCUAUUAUAGAUUCCACAUGCAUCCCAUUUUCUGAGGCUUGUUAAAUUGUCUGAGAAAGGGCAUUAUGAUCAGUUUUCUUCAGUAAAUUUCACCAGUUUGGCCAAAGCCACUGAGGCAAGGUGACCUGAACGGCAUGUUGGUUAAUGUAGAUUCAAACCUGGAUGGUUGUUUUAUUUCUUUGUGAUGCUUGCCUGAUCUGGAAAGAAAGCAUAUCCUGUUGACUGAAGGAGAUUGGAUGUCAAAAACAGAAUGAGGAAAAUGGGGAUAGAGAAUUAUUGGGGCUCCUAAGCGAUAUGAAUGGAAUGGAGAGAAUCUGACAAAAAACGUUCUAUGGGGGACUUUUCCCUUGAUUAAAUUAGAGCUAUUUGAAUAGCUAAUUGAAUGAUAGGGUCCAGGAGAAAAGAGCAGCAACCUUAUGUAACCUUUCUUCUUAUAUUUUUAAGUCGUUGGGCAGUUUUACAGCACACCACAUUAGGCGGGAGCAAAGUUUCUUUGCUCAUGGUGAGUUAGCCUCAGAAAUUUCUACACAUACAUCUUUUAAGGAAGAUGACUGUAUAUUUUGGUCAAAGCUAGUAAGGUCAUUGCUUUUGUAUGUUGCUUAAACCUUUCCUGAUAAUGCGCUAUGAACCUCCCUUCCUAUCCCCUGUAGUUGCAUGACUUCUGCUGAGAAUGGGUAGGGAUGCUCAGCCAGGCUGCUGGCUCCAUGCUACUUAGCUGUAACUUAAUAUUCCUAAGUGAAACUUGUUUUGGAGCUUAAGAACUCUGGGAGGUAUUGGUUGCUCCUUCACAUUUCCUGCCACAAACAUUUCCAACUCUCCUUGGAGCAUAAGAGGUGUGGGAGGGGAUGGUGAGGUCUGAGGCAGCCUGCUGUUUGGUGGGUCACAGUUUCCCCUCACCAGGGCUCCCUUUACUCCUUUUGAGUGUGCUGAUAUAGAAUGGGGAUGUGUUUGCAGCGGAAUUUAGUUGGAAGAGAAGGGCUCUGUGGGUCUGGAGUUCAGUCUUUCAGUCAUGGAGCUGGAGUGCCCUCUGCUGCUCUGGAGAGGAAGGUGCAUGAACAGCAUGGCUCUUGCCUGCACUUUGCUCCAGGUACAGGAAAAUCUCCAAAAUGCUCCCUUUGAAAACCAGUGCUCGGUUGAUCACUAAGCAUCUGGUUUCACUCAACUGUGGGGACUUUGGCUUUUUCAAGAAAAUCUCAUUGAGGCUGAGUAUGCAACCAGACCAGAGCCCACAUGGAAGGUAGCUUUCCUUCGGUCAAAAGGUGUGACAGCCAUUUCAGGAUAGGUAUUUGGCUUAUUUUUCAUGAGUGUCAGUGUCACCAUGAAAUAAGUGUUUAUUUUGUGUGUGAUCAAUCUUUUCAUAUAUAUCUGGGAUAACUGAAUAUUGUUAUUCCAGGUUUGGAGGUUUCUAUAUAUUUUCCUUUUGCAGUGUGUAAAAUCAAUGUUGAAAAAUGUUCUUUGUGGAAAAUGCAAGCAUUUUUAAAAAACAUUUCUUGCUUUACUUUUUAAUGUAUUUUAUCAUUCUGCAGUGGCAUAUUUUUAUAUAGUCUUAUAAUUUACAACCACUUUCUCAUAAUCUCAUUAAAACAUCCUGGUAAAUCUGAUAUAAGCUAUGUAGCUCCUACUUUAUAGACAGAAAAGCAAGUUUAAAGUCAUACCCAGUCAUAUAAGCGGUAUCAGAAGUGAGAACUGGGUCAGCUAAUGUGCUGAGCUCCAGGAAAAGGAUACCAGUGAAUAGUUAUUUAAUACUUACCAUUUGUUAGCACCAUAAUAGUGUUUUUAAAUUAAUUAAUUAAUUAAUUAAUUUUUGUCUUUUUGUCUUUUUUUAGGGCUGCACCCGUGGCAUAUGGAGGUUCAUAAGCUAGGGGUCUAAUUGGAGCUGUUGCCGCUGGCCUAUGCCAGAGCCACAGGAACGCCAGAUCUGAGCAUAUCUGCAACCUAUACCACAGUUCAUGGCAAUGCCAGAUCCUUAACCCACUGAGCAUGGCCAUGGAUCAAACCUUCAACCUCAUGGUUCCUAGUCGGAUUCAUUUCCACUGUGCCAUGGCGGGAACUCCAACUGUGUUUUUUUUAAUUCAUUGCUUACUUAUUUUUUACAUCAACUCAAAAGGUAGACAUUAUUAUAGCUGUUAUUUUAAUAGAUAUUAAAAUAGAGGCUUUGAGAAGUUACUAAUAAAGAGUCAAACAGACAGUAAGUGGAAAAGCUUUGUUUCAAACCCUGCUCCAUCUGAUGCCAGAGGCCCUGAUGUAUGAACAAUAUUUAAUAUGAAGAGAAAUCCCUGGCCUCAAGCAAUUUAGAGUAGUUUUUUUUUUGAUGCGAUAAUAUAUUUAUGAUAUAUGAUAUAAAAUUUACCAUUUUAACCACCUUUAGGUGUAAAGUUCAAUGUCAUUAAGUACAUUCAUGUUGACUGAAUGAUAGUCCAUUUUAUGACUAUACCAUAUUUUAUGUAUUCAUCCCUUGAUGGACGUUUGAAAUGUUUCCACCUUUUGCUUAUUGUGAUUAGUGCUGAUAUGAUAUAAAUACCUGUUUGAGUUACUGCUUUUGGUUAUUUUCAGUGUAUACCCAGAAGUAGGGCUGCUGAAUCAUAUAUUAAUUCUAUGUUUAAAUUUUUUUAAGGAACUACCACUCUCUUUUUCACAGUGGCGGCACUAUUUAACAUUCCUACCAAUGGAGAACAGGGCUGGUUCAUUCGUUCAUUCUUUCUUUCUUUCUUUCUUUCAUAGCCUAAUGCAUGUGAGGUAUCUCAUUGGGGUUUUAUGUUUUAAAGUUUUAAAAUUUUUUUGCUUUUUUGGAGGGGCCAUACAUGCAGCAUAUGGAAAUUCCCAGGUUAGGUGUUGAAUGGGAGCUGCAGCUCAGGCCUGUGUCACAGCCGUAGCAACAGGGGGAUCUGAGCUGGGUUUGUGACCUACACCACAGCUUGUGGCAAUGCUGGGUCCUUAACCCACUCAACAAGGCCAGGCAUUGAACCCACAUCCUCAUGGAUGUUUCCACUGAACCACAAUGGGAACUCCCUCAUUGGGGUUUUAAUUUGCAUUUCCCUAAUGAUUAGUGAAGUAUAAUAUCUUUUCAUGUGCUUCUUGGCCAUCUAUAUAUCUUCUUUGAGGAAAUGUCUACUAUUUCUUAACUGGGUUUUCUUUGGCUGUUGUUGAGUUGUAUUGAGUUCUUUAUAUAUUCUGGAUAUUAAUUCUUUAUCAGAUGUAUGAUUUGCAAUUGUUUUCUCUUUUACUCUAUGGCUCUUUACUCUGUUGAUAGUAUCCUUUGAUGCACAAAAUGUUUCAAACAUUUUGAUGAAGUCUAAUUUAUUUGUUUCCUCUUUCAUUGCCUCUGCUUUUGGUAUCAUAUCCAAGAAUUCAUUGCCAAACUCAAUGUCAGGAAGCUUUCCCCUGUAUUUUCUUCUAAGAAUUUUAUAGUUUUAGUCCUUACAUUUGGGUGUUUGAUCUAUUUUGAGUUAAUUUUUUGUAUAUUGUGAAACUAAGCAUUCAGCUUCAUUCUUUUGCAUGUAGAUAUUAUUUUCCUUAUAAUAUUUGUUAAAAAGGAUGUCUUUUCCCCAUUAAAUUGACUUGGCACACUUGUUGAAAAUCAUUUGGCCAUAUAUGUUAGGGUUUAUUUCUGAGCUCUGUAUUCUGUUCAUUGGUGUGUGUGCUUGUCUUUAUGUCAGUACUACACUUUAUUAAUUACUAUAGCUUUGUUUGAAGUUUUGAAAUACAGAAGUGUGCAACCUCUAGUUUUGUUCAUUGUCAAGAUUGUUUUGACUAUCUGAAGUCCCUAGAAAGUCCAUGUGUUUUAGGUUGGGGUUUUCUAUUUUUGCCAAAAAAUGUCAUUGGGAUUCUGAUAGUGAUUGCAUUGAAUCUAUAGAUUUCUUUGAGUAAUAUUGACAUUUUAACAAUAUUGUCUUCUGAUUCAUGAAUGCAGACUGUAUUUUUAUUUAUAGAUGUCUUUUAAAUUUUUAUUCAGCAAUACUUUAUAUUUUUCAGUGUACAAGUCCUUGGUUAAGUUUAUUCCUAAAUAUUUUUUUUCUUUUAGAUGCUAUUGUAAAUGAGAUUUUCUUAAUUUUCUUUUUAGAUUGUUCAUUGUUAGUGUACAGAAAUGCAACUGAUUUUGCAUGCUGUUUUUGUAUCCUACUACCAGUUUGCCAUUUUAACUUGAGCCCAUAUCUUUUAACCAUGUCUCAUGUAUUUCCUACUCUUUCACAGUGGUCAACAUGUGAAAAUGACAAUUAAUUUCCAUUACACAGAAAUUUUGUUCUUAUGUCAAACUUUACCAAAAUUUGUCUGCCAUGAGUUUUUUUCAUGGAGUCCAAACAUUGUCAGCAAUUCAAUUAAUGAAAAAGAAAAUCAAUCUGAUUUUCCUUGUCUCUAUGUUAUGCCUACACUUAAUCUGAAUGACAAAGUUUUAACUUCCAGAUGCACAAAUUGGUUUGGUAUUAUAUUGACACAGCUACAGUUCUCAAAGUUGUUAUAAUCUGCACAAAGAAAACUAAAAACUAAAAUAUGCAUUUGUUUAUUCAUUCAACUUUCCAACUCAUGUUGACUUGGGUCAUAUAGUUUAUCCUAUUUGAUUGCCUAUUCAGCUAGAUAAAAAGCAUAGUACCAGUUUAAAAAAUAGACAAUUUAAUACAUUGGCCAACACCUGAUAAGAAUAACGCACACAAAUCUGUAAGCCAAUUUCACUUAUGAGUGUACAUGCCAAAAUUUGAAAUGCAGUUAUCAAAUUCUUAUUAUUUUAAAUAAAGACUAUACUACAUAUAGUAUAAUCUAGUAAUUUAAGUAUACAAUCUAUGAUCAUGAUUUAUCACAUCAUAUUGUAAGGAAAAAAAACUUGUGAAACCCUCUGAUAAAUGCAUGAAGCAUUUAUAAGUGCAACAUAUAUUCAUGAAUCAAAAUAUACUUUCAGUAAACCAUAGAUACUGUACCUCUUUUACACAACUAAAAAUAAUGUACUUAAAACUAAAGCCAAUAUCUACUUAGUAGAAAAUUCAGAAGGUUGCUGCUUUCAUGUAUCAUAAUUCCAGAAGUUCUAAUCAAUGCAUAAUAAUAUUAGUACAUCUACUAAUAAGUGUAUUUAAAUAAAAGUAGAUAACCAUAACAUGUGUAAGCAAUAAUUUUGUUGACCUGGAAACCAAACUUAAUCAAUUGGAAAACUAUUAGAAAGUAAUAAUGGAGUUUUCAUUGUGACUCAGUGGGUUAAGACCCCAACAUAGAGUCUGUGAGGAUGAGGGUUCCAUCUGUGGCCUUGCUUGGUUGAGUUAAGUAUCUGGUAUUGUUGUAAGCUAUGAUAUAGGUCACAGAUAUGUCUCAGAUAUGGCACUGCUGUGGCUGUGGUGUAGGCCUGCACUUGCAGCUCCAAUUCCACCCCUGGCCCAGGAACUUCCAUGUGCUACAGGUGUG